rnacentral:tRNA from 1 species
GCCGAUGUAGCUCAAUUGGUAGAGCACCCGCCUUGUAAGCGGGCUGUUGCAGGUUCGAGUCCUGUCAUCGGCU